rnacentral:rRNA from 1 species
UGGCGGCGUGCUCGAACACAUGCAAGUCGAACGCUGAAGCUCUCAGCUUGCUGGGGUGGAUGAGUGGCGAACGGGUGAGUAAUACGUGAGUAAUCUGCCCUUGGCUUCGGGAUAAGCAUUGGAAACGAUGUCUAAUACCGGAUAUGACUGCGGGUCGCAUGGCUCGUGGUGGAAAGAUUUAUUUUGGCUUUGGAUGGGCUCACGGCCUAUUAGUUUGUUGGUGGAGUAAUGGCCUACCAAGGCGGUGAUGGGUAGCCGGCCUGAGAGGGUGACCGGCCACACUGGGACUGAGAUACGGCCCAGACUCCUACGGGAGGCAGCAGUGGGGAAUAUUGCACAAUGGACGGAAGUCUGAAUGCAGCGACGCCGCGUGGAGGAUGACGGCCUUCGGGUUGUAAACUCCUUUCAGUAGGGAAGAAGCCCUUUUGGGGUGACGGUACUUGCAGAAGAAGCGCCGGCUAACUACGUGCCAGCCGCCGC